rnacentral:rRNA from 1 species
GUGAACGCUGGCGGUAGGCCUAACACAUGCAAGUCGAACGGCAGCACAGUAAGAGCUUGCUCUUACGGGUGGCGAGUGGCGGACGGGUGAGGAAUACAUCGGAAUCUACUUUUUCGUGGGGGAUAACGUAGGGAAACUUACGCUAAUACCGCAUACGACCUACGGGUGAAAGCAGGGGAUCUUCGGACCUUGCGCGAUUGAAUGAGCCGAUGUCGGAUUAGCUAGUUGGCGGGGUAAAGGCCCACCAAGGCGACGAUCCGUAGCUGGUCUGAGAGGAUGAUCAGCCACACUGGAACUGAGACACGGUCCAGACUCCUACGGGAGGCAGCAGUGGGGAAUAUUGGACAAUGGGCGCAAGCCUGAUCCAGCCAUACCGCGUGGGUGAAGAAGGCCUUCGGGUUGUAAAGCCCUUUUGUUGGGAAAGAAAAGCAGCAGGCUAAUACCCCGCUGUUCUGACGGUACCCAAAGAAUAAGCACCGGCUAACUUCGUG